AGCAGCCGCGGUAAUUCCAGCUCCAAUAGCGUAUAUUAAAGUUGUUGCAGUCAAAAGCUCGUAGUUGAAUUUCGGGAUCAAUAUAUUGGUCGUGCCUUUGGUAUGCACUGGUAUUAUUGAUUUCUACCUUCUGACGAACCAUGAUGUCAUUAAUUUGGUGUCAUGGGGAAUCAGGACUGUUACUUUGAAAAAUUGAGUGUUUAAAGCAAGCACACGCUUGAAUACAUUAGCAUGGAAUAAUGAAAUAGGACGUUUGAUCUUAUUUUGUUGGUUUCUAGGAUCG
rnacentral:misc_RNA from 1 species